rnacentral:rRNA from 1 species
UGGGGAAUAUUGCACAAUGGGCGCAAGCCUGAUGCAGCCAUGCCGCGUGUAUGAAGAAGGCCUUCGGGUUGUAAAGUACUUUCAGCGGGGAGGAAGGUGUUGAGGUUAAUAACCUCAGCAAUUGACGUUACCCGCAGAAGAAGCACCGGCUAACUCCGUGCCAGCAGCAGCGGUAAUACGGAGGGUGCAAGCGUUAAUCGGAAUUACUGGGCGUAAAGCGCACGCAGGCGGUCUGUCAAGUCGGAUGUGAAAUCCCCGGGCUCAACCUGGGAACUGCAUUCGAAACUGGCAGGCUAGAGUCUUGUAGAGGGGGGUAGAAUUCCAGGUGUAGCGGUGAAAUGCGUAGAGAUCUGGAGGAAUACCGGUGGCGAAGGCGGCCCCCUGGACAAAGACUGACGCUCAGGUGCGAAAGCGUGGGGAGCAAACA